rnacentral:rRNA from 1 species
UACGUAGGGUGCAAGCGUUAAAUCGGAAUUACUGGGCGUAAAGCGUGCGCAGGCGGUUGUGCAAGACAGAUGUGAAAUCCCCGGGCUCAACCUGGGAAUUGCAUUUGUGACUGCACGGCUAGAGUGUGUCAGAGGGGGGUAGAAUUCCACGUGUAGCAGUGAAAUGCGUAGAUAUGUGGAGGAAUACCGAUGGCGAAGGCAGCCCCCUGGGAUAACACUGACGCUCAUGCACGAAAGCGUGGGGAGCAAACAGG